rnacentral:lncRNA from 1 species
CAAUUCUUGUAGGAAUCUUCAAAGUAUAGAAAAUAUAUCUUGUAUAUGUGUGCCCAAGUAAUUAGAGGGAAAAAAAAGGGACUCCCUAUUGCUGUCCUAUUCUGUAAGUGUGUGUGUCUAUAUAUAUAUAUAUAUAUAUAUGGACUUGUUGGCCCAAACAAUUUAACUUUCUGAUUAGUGUAACAGUGAAAAUGAUCCUUUGUUCAUUGCUCUCAUUAAAUGAUCUAGAGAAGUAAAUUAAUGAUUGAUUUUGUUUUACCAAUAAUAGAAAUACUGAUUACAAAAAUAGCUAUGAUGGAUUUGUGAAUUUCUUUGGUAAUUUCUGUCAAAUAUUGAUAUAUAGUGUAUACCACUACAAGAAUGAGCAUUAUUUGUGUCCACAAAUCAAUGAUUGGCAUGAACUUGAAUUUUGAAAUAUUGGUGAUCUUAAUAUUAAAGUUUUAGAACUUGAUCCUAAAUAAAGAAUUGAUUACCAUGCAAUUCUAAAUUAAAAAUAAAUAAAUAAAUAAAUAAAUAAUAAUGUGCAAAUGGAGUUGUGUAAGUACUCUAAUUUAUCCUAUUGAAUUUGUUCAUGGUUGCUAGUCUCACUAAUUGUUAAUUACAUAAAUCCAUAUGAUUGCUCAUGAUUUUCCGUGUUUGUAUCUCUUUUAGGAUAUUUCACAUUCUAUAUUAUUUUUAAAUUAAUCCAUAUCUUUAUUGACCAAAUGUGGUAGUAUUUGGAAAUGUGUGGUUAUUGCAUUUUAACUAGCAAAAUUGCAUUAUUCCUGGAUUUUCAUAUUGUGGGAAAAUGUUAUUAUUGUGUGCAUAAUUUAUGCCUUUAGGUGGGACUUAAUAUAAUUCUUCAGAAUUUCAAACCGGGCACCUUGUAUCCCUGCAAAUCCUUUGAUGAUUUCAGGUGUCUUUGUUGGCACAUAGAAUGUUCUCAGUUCUUAAAGAUAAAAGUGUAACUUUAAGGAUGAAAGUGGUCUAAUUAGAUGAGUUAGAAGCAUUAAUUGUGGGACAUUAGUCUUGGUAGUUUGAAUUCUGUUAGUG